UGCGGCCUAUCAGCUUGUUGGUGAGGUAGUGGCUCACCAAGGCGACGACGGGUAGCCGGCCUGAGAGGGCGACCGGCCACACUGGGACUGAGACACGGCCCAGACUCCUACGGGAGGCAGCAGUGGGGAAUAUUGCGCAAUGGGCGAAAGCCUGACGCAGCAACGCCGCGUGCGGGAUGAAGGCCUUCGGGUUGUAAACCGCUUUCAGCAGGGAAGAAGCGAAAGUGACGGUACCUGCAAAAGAAGCACCGGCUAACUACGUGCCAGCAGCCGGGGUAAUACGUAGGGUGCAAGCGUUGUCCGG
rnacentral:rRNA from 1 species